rnacentral:rRNA from 1 species
AUUGAACGCUGGCGGCAGGCCUAACACAUGCAAGUCGAACGGUAACAGGAAACAGCUUGCUGUUUCGCUGACGAGUGGCGGACGGGUGAGUAAUGUCUGGGAAACUGCCUGAUGGAGGGGGAUAACUACUGGAAACGGUAGCUAAUACCGCAUAACGUCGCAAGACCAAAGAGGGGGACCUUCGGGCCUCUUGCCAUCGGAUGUGCCCAGAUGGGAUUAGCUAGUAGGUGGGGUAACGGCUCACCUAGGCGACGAUCCCUAGCUGGUCUGAGAGGAUGACCAGCCACACUGGAACUGAGACACGGUCCAGACUCCUACGGGAGGCAGCAGUGGGGAAUAUUGCACAAUGGGCGCAAGCCUGAUGCAGCCAUGCCGCGUGUAUGAAGAAGGCCUUCGGGUUGUAAAGUACUUUCAGCGGGGAUGAAGGGAGUAAAGUUAAUACCUUGGCUCAUUGACGUUACCCGCAGAAGAAGCACCGACUAACUCCGUG